CACCUCUUAAGGUCGCAACUGGAGAGUUUCCAGUCCUCUUCCAGUCUCGAUUACGGGAGAAAGAGUCAAGCAGAGGCCUGUCCACUCCAUUCCUAGCUCGGGCAGUGGCUAGCGAGUGGAAGGCCAUCUGCUACAAGU